rnacentral:rRNA from 1 species
AUGUGUCAGCCACCUGGUUUUGUUGAUCCUGCUCAGCCACAUCAUUUGUGUCGUCUUGACAAAGCCCUAUAUGGACUGAAACAGGCCCCUCGUGCGUGGCAUACACGUCUUGGCACUGCUCUUCGUGCUCAUGGGUUUGUGCCUUCUGCAGCAGACACGUCUUUGUUUAUCUUUCAGCGACCGGAGGUGACUAUGUAUAUUCUGGUCUAUGUUGAUGACAUCAUCCUUGUUAGUUCGUCCGCUGCUGCUACGGAUCGGCUUGUGUCCUCUCUUGGUGCUGACUUUGCUGUUAAGGAUCUUGGCAGACUGCCUUAUUUUCUGGGUCUGGAAGUUCAUCCUUCUGAUGGUGGUUUGAACCUUACUCAGAAGAAGUACUCCCAGGACCUCCUACGUCGUGCAGGUAUGUUGCAGUGCAAGCCUGCUAUGACUCCCAUGUCUGUCAGAGACAAACUGACCGCUCUUGCUGGUGACUUGCUCUCUCCUGAGGAUGCCACUGAGUACCGCAGCAUUGUUGGUGGGUUGCAGUACUUGCUUAUCACUCGACCAGACAUAUCGUUUGCAGUAAACCGAGUGUGCCAGUAUCUUCAUGCGCCGCGUGAUUCUCACUGGUCAGCUGUUAAGCGCAUCUUACGCUAUGUUCGUCACACUGGUUCUUAUGGUCUUCAUCUUCAGUCGGCGCCUUCUGGACUGAUCUCUGCAUUUUCUGAUGCCGACUGGGCUGGUAGUCCUGAUGACAGGCGAUCCACGGAGGGACAUGCUGUGUUCUUUGGACCUAACUUGAUCGCCUGGCAAGCUACGGUAUCUCGGAGUAGUACCGAAGCUGAGUACAAGGCGGUUGCUAAUGCCACAACUGAGAUCAUGUGGGUGCAGUCGUUGCUUCGGGAGUUGAAGGUCUCUCCCACUCAGCCACCUGUCCUUUGGUGUGAUAACAUCGGUGCUACAUAUCUUUCAUCCAAUCCAGUGUUUCAUGCCCGAACGAAGCACAUUGAAGUUGACUAUCACUUUGUGAGGGAACGUGUUGCUCAGAAGCUUCUUCAGAUCAAGUUUGUUCCUUCUAAGGAUCAGCUUGCUGACAUUUUCACUAAACCCUUGCCCUUGCCUUCUUUUGAAGGAUGUUGA